ACGAACGCUGGCGGCGUGCUUAACACAUGCAAGGCGAACGGAAAGGCCCUGCUUUUGUGGGGUGCUCGAGUGGCGAACGGGUGAGUAACACGGGAGUAACCUGCCCUUGACUUUGGGAUAACUUUAGGAAACUGGGGCUAAUACCGGAUAGGAGCUCCUGCCGCAUGGGGGGGGGUGGAAAGUUUCGGCGGUUGGGGAUGGACUCGCGGCUUAUCAGCUUGUUGGUGGGGUAGUGGCUUACCAAGGCUUUGACGGGUAGCCGGCCUGAGAGGGUGACCGGCCACAUUGGGACUGAGAUACGGCCCAGACUCCUACGGGAGGCAGCAGUGGGGAAUAUUGCACAAUGGGCGGAAGCCUGAUGCAGCAACGCCGCGUGCGGGAUGACGGCCUUCGGGUUGUAAACCGCUUUCGCCUGUGACGAAGCGUGAGUGACGGUAAUGGGUAAAGAAGCACCGGCUAACUACGUG
rnacentral:rRNA from 1 species